rnacentral:rRNA from 1 species
GCCUGUUCAGAAGUGGACGGGAAAUCUUUGGGAAUCCCCUCCGUGAUUGGGAUUGACCAUUGAAAUUGUUGGUCAUGAACGAGGAAUGCCUUGUAAUUGCAACUCAUCAGGUUGCGAUGAAUAUGUCCCUGCCCUUUGUACACACCGCCCGUCGCUUCUACUGAUGAAACAAAUGAUGAGGGGCUGGGACUGACUGACUGUGAAAGCGGUUGGAUGGGAACUACCUCGAAUCCCUUGUUUUAGAGGAAGAAGAAGUCGUAACAAG